CGAAGGUGGCAAGCGUUACUCGGAAUUACUAGGCGUAAAGGGCAGGUAGGUGGUUUGGUAAGUCUAUUGUGAAAGCUCCCGGCUUAACUGGGAGAGGUCAAUAGAAACUACCAGACUUGAGUAUGGGAGAGGGUACUGGAAUUCCCGGUGUAGCGGUGAAAUGCGCAGAUAUCGGGAGGAACACCAAUGGCGAAAGCAGGUACCUGGACCAUUACUGACACUCAGCUGCGAAAGCUAGGGGAGCAAACAGGAUUAGAUACCCUGGUAGUCCUAGCCGUAAACGAUGCACAUUAGGCGUGAGGGGUAUCGACCCCCUUCGUGCCGACGCAAACGCAUUAAAUGUGCCGCCUGGGGAGUACGGCCGCAAGGUUG
rnacentral:rRNA from 1 species